UGGAGGGCCCAUGUGUACACAUAUCCGCCGUCGAAGGCUAAAAAAAAAUACUUAAAAAAACAUGCUAAAAAAGAACUAUUUCGAAGUUGUAAACAACUAGGAAACAGAACUGUCUGUCCACCCACUGCAGUGCGUCCAUCGGCUAAUAUAGGUGUCCCAAAAUUUAUUGUUGAUGUAAGGCAUCUAUCCUUUCUUCUCUUUUAUACUCCUCUCUGAUAAUCUGAGAUAAUUUUAUGAACUAUACCAUUUAACUUCCCUCGUGAUCAUACAGAGCCGCAAUAACGUCUUGGUUCACAAAUACUCCCAUCAAUUGUAGACCGAAUUUGUUCUCCACCAUUUUGUUUGCACAAGUCAUAAUUAGCAAAACAAUCCCUCAACGCUCUAGUGUCUUGAUCAGUUACAUAACUUCCUCGUCUUUUUUAGUCUUCGAUGACGAAUGUGUAUACAUGGGGCUUCCAUCUACCUGUAAAGAUAAUCACGAGCGACACUAGAUUAAAUCUUAACAAAAAAAAUAUUUUUUCUAAAUGAAAAGUAAAAGAUCCUUAACAAACAUUGCCAAAUGUUGGUCUCAAAUUUAGGAAGUAGAUUAAGCAUAGCUUCGACAUUUGCAAAAUAUAUUUUUCGGGAACUACAUAAAGGUCUUUCACCCUAGGACCCCGUCUAUUCAACCUGAAUAGGAAAUACAGAAGCAAAGCUUAAUAAAAUAGGAUAUUGCUGAAAUAUUUUCCUCAUAUCCAGUCACAUAGGCUCUUGCUGUAAUAUUGUGUUUUUUAGUUUUUUAAUAGUUGGUAGUUUGUAUUACCUUCGAGAGGUAGCAUCUGAGGAGUUAUUCCACUACAAACUUGAAUUGUAUUUGAUUUUUAGACCGAACAAACUACAUGAACAUGAUCUGCAGGAAGAUAAAAGGGAAAAUUUACGAAAACAAGCCCCAUAUAUUAGAACAAUCUUGUAAUUGCAAACAAAUUAGCAGUUUUUAUAUAAACAAGACUGGAAAACUUACAUUUAUCAUGUCCAGUGCAUACACGUCCUUAAGGAACUCAGCAAGAUUAGCAUAGUCGUUACUAAAUGAAAACCCAAGCUUGAGUGUCUCGUUGUUUGUGUAUAUGAACCUUAGAAUGUCAAAUAUUGGUUGUUGCGGCAAUUUCAAACCAUCCAACAAAAAAAUUUUGUAUUCUUCAUUGUUCUUGCUCCCACGUUUAAUUUCGAGUUGUAUCAAUGACAUUACAGGAUAUCAACUGCUUUUUAUUGUCAUAAACCACUCCGUAUCUAUUCCAAUAAACGUUGUCUCUGCGAUGCACGCUUUGAUCUUAUCAAAGAGGUCCGACGAAAAUUCCUCAACAAGAUCAUACUGGUACUCACGUAACAAGGGAAGGUUAUUGGGGUUUUCUUGUCCAUCUUCUUUUCCUCCUGUUUCACCUUCCGUCGAGGCUAGUGGAGGUUCGGUGGGUUGAACUCUCUCGGAAGCAGAGAUUAUAUAUUUCCCGCACGUGAGAGUUCAUCUAAGAUGUCAUAAAAAAUAAAAAAUGUAAUAUUUCAUGAUGAGCUAGUGGAUAUAUAGCAGAUAGGCAAGUCGAUAUAUUAUUUCAUGAUGUGCUAGUGGAUAUAUAGCAGAUAGGCAGAUAGACACAUGCUAGUGGAUAUAUUAUUUCAUGAUGUGCUAGUGGAUAUAUAGCAUAUAAGCAAAAAUAUUAUAUUUUUCAUUUUCUGUGACAUAUUAGAUGAACUCUCACGUGCGGGAAAUGAAUUAUAUUCUCUGUUUUUGAGAGAGUUCAACACACCUAACCUCCACUACCCUCGACGGAAGGAGGUGAAACAGGAGAAAAAGAAGAUGGACAAAGAAAUCCCAACAACCAUUCUUUUUUACGUGAGUACCAGUAUGAUCUUGUUGAGAAAAAUUUUCGUAGGACGUUUUUGAUAAGAUCAAAGCGUGCAUCGCAGAGGUAUCAUUUAUUGUUAUAGAUACUGAGUGGUUUAUGAUAAUAGAAAGCAGUAGAUAUCUUAUAGUGUCAUUGAUACAACUCAAAAUUAAAAGUGGGAGUAAGAACAAUGAAGAAUACAAGAUCUUUUUAUUGGAUUGUUUGAAAUUGUCGCAAUAACCAAUAUUUGACAUUCUAAGGUUCAUAUACACAAACAACGAGACACUCAAACUUGGGUUUUUAUUUAAUAACGACUACGCUAAUCUUGUUGAGUUCCUUAAGGACGUGUGUGCAUUGGACAUGAUAAAUGUAAGUUUUCCAGUCUUGUUUACUUAAAAACUGGUAAUUUGUUUGGAAUUACAUGUUUGUUCUAAUAUUCAAGGCUUGUUUUCGCAGAUUUUCCUUUUUAUCUAAGUGCAGACCAUGUUCAUGCAGUUUGUUCAGUCCAAAAAUCAAAUACAAUUCAAGUUUGUAGUGGAACAACUCCUCUGAUGCUACCUCUUGAAGGUAAUGCAAACUGCCAACUAUUAGAAACUAAAAAAAUUGCAAUAUUACAGCAAGAGCCUAUGUUACUUGAUAUGCGGAAAAUAUUUCAGCAAUAGCCUAUUUCAUUAAGCUUUGUUUUUGUUUUUCCUAUCCAGGUUGAAUAGACGGGGUCCUGGGAUGAAAGACUUUUGAGUAAUUCCCAAAAAAUAUAUGCUGCAAAUGUCGAAGUUAUACUUGACCUACUUCCUAAAUUUGAGACCAACAUUUUGUAAUGUUUGUUAAGGUCUUCUUACUUUUUCAUUUAGAAAAAAUAUAUUUUUUGGUUAAGGUUUAAUCUAGUGUCGCUCAUGGUUAUCUUUACAGAUGGAUAAAGGGCCCAUGUGUACACAUAUUCACCGUCGAAGGCUAAAAAAAUUACUUAAAAAAAUAUGCUAAAAAAGAACUAUUUCGAAGUUGUAAACAACUAGGAAACAGAACUGCUUGUCCACCCACUGCAGUGCGUCCAUCAUCUAAUAUAGGUGUCCCAAAAUUUAUUGUUGAUGUAAGGCAUCCAUCCUCUCCUCUUUUAUAUUCCUCUCUAAUAAUCUGAGAUAAUUUUAUGAACUAUACAAUCUGACUUCCCUCGUGAUCAUACAGAGCCACAAUAACGUCUAUGUUCACAAAUACAUGAAUUGUAGACCGAAUUUGUUCUCCACCAUUUUGUUUGCACAAGUCCAUAAUUCGCAAAUUAAUUCCUUAACGCUCUAGUGUCUUGAUCAGUUACAUGACUUUCAUCGUCUUUUUUAGCCUUCAACGGCGGAUAUGUUUACACAUGGGCCCUCUAUCCAUCUGUAAAGGUAAUCAUGAGUGACACUAGAUUAAACCUUAACAAAAAAAAUUUCUUUUCUAAAGGAAAAAGUAAGAGUCACUUAACAAACAUUGCCAAAUGUUGGUCUCAAAUUUAGGAAGUAGAUUAAGUAUAGCUUUGACAUUUGCAGCAUAUAUUUUUUGGGAAUUACUCAAAGGUCUUUCACCCCAGGACACCGUCUGUUCAACCUGGAUAGGAAAUAAGGCAGCAAAGCUUAAUGAAAUAGGCUAUUGCUGAAAUAUUUUCCUCAUAUCCAGUCACAUAGGCUCUUGUUGUAAUAUUGCGUUUUUUAGUUUCUAAUAGUUGGCAGUUUGCAUUACCUUCGAAAGGUAGCAUCUGAGGAGUUGUUCCACUAUAAACUUGAAUUGUAUUUGAUUUUUGGACUGAACAAACUGAAUGAACAUGGUCUGCCUUUAGAUAAAAGGGAAAAUCUGCGAAAAAAGCCCCGAAUAUUAGAACAAUCAUGUAAUUGCAAACAAAUUAUUAGUUUUUAUGUAAACAAGACUGGAAAACUUACAUUUAUCAUGUCCAGAACACACGUCCUUAAGGAACUCAGCAAGAUUAGUGUAGUCGUUACUAAAUAAAAACUCAAGCUUGAGUGUCUUGUUGUUUGUGUAUAUGAGCCUUAGAAAAAUAUUGGUUGUUACGGCAAUUUAAAACAAUCCAACAAAAAGAUUUUGUAUUCUUCAUUGUUCUUGCUCCUAUUUUUAAUUUUAUGUUGUAUCAAUGACAGAUAUCUACUGCUUUCUAUUGUCAUAAACGACUCAAUAUCUAUUGCAAUAAACUCUGUCUCUGCGAUACACACUUUGAUCUUAUCAAAGAGGUCCAACGAAAAUUUCUCAAUAAGAUCAUACUAGUACUCACGUAACAAGGGAAGGUAGUUGGAGUUUUCUUGUCCAUCUUCUUUUUCUCUUGUUUAACCUCCUUCCGUUGAGGCUAGUGGAGGUUCGGUGAGUUGAACUCUCUCGGAAGCAGAAGCAAUAUAAUUCACUUUCCGCACGUGAGAGUUCAUCUUAAGAUGUCACAGAAAAUAAAAAACGUAAUAUUUUAUGAUGUGCUAGUGGAUAUAUAGUAGAUAGGCAUGUGCUAGUGGAUAUAUUAUUUCAUGAUGUGCUAGUGGAUAUAUAGCAGAUAGGUAAUAUAAUUUAUUUUCCGCACGUGAGAGUUCAUCUAAGAUGUCAUAGAAAAAAAAUGUAAUAUUUCAUGAUGUGCUAGUGGAUAUAGCAGAUAGGUAAGUGGAUAUAUUAUUUCAUGAUGUUCUAGUGGAUAAAUAGCAGAUAGGUAGAUAAAUAUGUGCUAGUGGAUAUAUUAUUUCAUGAUGUGUUAGUGGAUAUAUAGCAAAUAGGCAAAAAUAUUGCCUUUUUCAUUUUCUGUAACGUCUUAGAUGAACUCUCACGUGCGGAAAAUGAAUUAUAGUGCCUCUGCUUUCAAGAGAGUUUUAACUCACCGUUCCUCCACUAACCUCGAUGGAAGGAUGUGAAACAGGAAAAAAGAAGAUGGACAAAAAAACCCCAACAACCAUCCCUUGUUAUGUGAGUACCAGUAUAAUCUUGUUGAGGAAUUUAUGUCGGACCUCUUUGAUAAGAUUAAAACGUGCAUCGCAGAGGUAGCGUUUAUUACAAUAAAUACUGAGUGAUUUAUGACAAUAAAAAACAGUAGAUAUCCUGUAGUGUCAUUGAUACAACUCAAAAAUAAAAGUUGGAGCAAGAACAAUGAAGAAUACAGAAUUUUUUUGUUGGAUUAUUUGAAAUUGCCGCAACAACCAAUAUUUGACAUUCUAAGGUUCAUAUACACAAACAACGAGACACUUAAGCUUGAGUUUUUAUUUAGUAACAAUUACGCUAAUCUUGCUGAGUUCCUUAAGGACGUGUGUACUCUGGACAUAAUAAAUGUAAGUUUUCCAGUCUUGUUUACAUAAAAUCUGAUAAUUUGUUUGCAAUUACAUGAUUGUUCUAAAAUCCUGGUCUUGUUUUCGCAGAUUUUGCCUUUUAUCUAAUUGCAGACCAUGUUUAUGCAGUUUGUUCAGCCCAAAAAUCAAAUACAAUUCAAGUUUGUAGUGAAACAACUCCUCAAAUGCUACCUCUUGAAGGUAAUGCAAACUGCUAACUAUUAGAAACUAAAAAAAAACGUAAUAUUACAAUAAGAGCCUAUGUGACUGGAUUUGAGGAAAAUAUUUCAGCAAUAGCCUAUUUCAUUAAGCUUUGCUUUCGUAUUUCCUAUCCAGGUUGAGCAGACGGGUCCUGGGUGAAAGACUUUUGAGUAGUUCCCCAAAAAUAUAUGCUGCAAAUGUCGAAGUUAUGCUUGAUUUACUUCCUAAAUUUGAGACCAACAUUUGAUGGAUGGAGGGCCCAUGUGUACACAAAUCCGCCAUCGAAGGCUAAAAAAUUACUUAAAAAAACAUGCUAAAAAAGAACUAUUUCGAAGUUGUAAACAACUAGGAAACAGAACUGCCUACCACUGCAGCGCGUCUACCAGCCAAUAUAGGUGUCCCAAAAUUUAUUGUUGAUGUAAGGCAUCCAUCCUUUCUUCUCUUUUAUAUUCAUCUCUGAUAAUCUGAGAUAAUUUUAUGACCUAUACAAUUUGACUUCCCUCAUGAUCAUACAGAGCCACAAUAACGUCUAUCUUCACAAAUACUCCAUGAAUUGUAGACCGAAUUUGUUCUCCACCAUAAUAUUUGCACAAGUCCAUAAUUAUCAAAACAAUCCCUUAACGCUCUAGUGUCUUGAUCAUUUACAUGACUUCCUCGUUUUUUAGCCUUUGACGAGGGAUAUGUUUACACAUGGGCUGAUGGGCCAUCCAUCCAUCUUUAAAGAUAAUCAUGAGUGACACUAGAUUAAACCUUAAAAAAAAUAUUUUUUCUUAAUGAAAAAGUAAGUCCCUUAACAAACAUUGCCAAAUGUUGGUCUCAAAUUUAGGAAGUAGAUCAAACAUAGCUUCGACAUUUGCAACAUAUAUUUUUAGGGAAUUAUUCAAAGGUCUUUCACCCCAGGACCCCGUCUGUUCAACCUGGAUAGAAAAUACGGUAGCAAAGCUUAAUGAAAUAGGCUAUUGCUGAAAUAUUUCCUCAUAUCCAGUCACAUAGGCUCUUGCUGUAAUAUAUUGUUUUUUUAGUUUCUAAUAGUUGUCAGUUUGCAUUACCUUCGAGAGGUAGCAUCUGAGAAGUUGUUCCACUACAAACUUGAAUUGUAUUUGAUUUUUAGACUAAACAAACUGAAUGAACAUGGUCUGUAGUUAAAUAAAAUGUAAAAUCUGCGAAAACAAGCCUCGGAUAUUAGAAUAAUCAAGUAAUUGAAAACAAAUUAUCAGUUUUUAUGUAAACAAGACUGGAAAACUUACAUUUAUCAUGUCUAGAGCACACGUCCUUAAGAAACUUAGCAAGAUUAGCGUAGUCGUUACUAAAUGAAAACCUAAGCUUGAGUAUCUCGUUGUUUGUGUAUAUGAACCUUAGAAUGUUAAAUAUUAGUUGUUGUGGCAAUUUUAAACAAUCCAACAAAAAAAUUUUGUAUUCUUCAUUGUUCUUGCUCCCAUUUUUAAUUUCGAGUUGUAUCAAUGACACUACAUGAUAUCUAUUGUUUUCUAUUGUUAUAAAUCACUCAGUAUCUAUUGCAAUAAACGUUGCCUCUGUGAUAAACGCUUUGAUCUUAUCAAAGAGGUCCGAAGGAAAUUCCUUAAUAAGAUCAUACUGGUACUCACGUAACAAGGGAAGGUUUUUGGGGUUUUCUUGUCCAUCUUCUUUUUCUCCUGUUUCACCUCCUUCCGUCGAGGCUAGUGGAGGUUAGGUAAGUUAAACUCUCUCGGAAGCAGAGGCAUGUGGUAGUGGAUAUAUUAUUUCAUGAUGUAAUAGUGGAUAUAUAGCAGAUAGAUAGGUAAUAUAAUUCAUUUCCCGCAUGUGAGAGUUUAUUUAAGAUGUUACGGAAAAUGAAAAAUGUAAUAUUUCAUGAUGUGCUAGUGGAUAUAUAGCAUAUAGGUAGAUAGGCAAGUGGAUAUAUUAUUUCAUGAUGUGCUAGUGGAUAUAUAGCAGAUAGGCAUGUACUAGUGGAUAUAUUAUUUCAUGAUGUGCUAGUAGAUAUAUAGCAGAUAGGUAAAAAUAUUACCUUUUUCAUUUUCUGUGACAUAUUAGAUGAAUUCUCACGUGCGGGUAAUGGAUUAUAUUGUCUCUGCUUCCGAGAGAGUUCAACCAACCGAACCUCUACUAGCUUCGACAGAAGGAGGUGAAACAGGAGAAAAAGAAGAUGGACAAGAAAACCCUAACAACCUUCUCUUGUUAUGUGAGUACCAGUAUGAUCUUGUUGAGGAAUUUUCACCGGACCUCUUUGAUAAGAUCAAAUCAUGCAUCGCAGAGGCAGCGUUUAUUGCAAUAGAUACUGAGUGGUUUAUGACAAUAGAAAGCAGUAGAUAUCCUGUAGUGUCAUUGAUACCUAUGAAGCACGGACACACAUAACAUGAAGCCGUGUCGUGUCCAUGUCGGAUGCACGUGUCGAACACGUAUCCUAUGUAUUUUUUAGGAUUUGCCUCGUGUCGGCGUGUCGGAUCCGUGUCCGUGCUAUAUAGAUUGAUACAACUCGAAAUUAUAAGUGGGAGCAAGAACAAUAAAGAAUACAAAUUCAUUUUGUUGGAUUGUUUGAAAUUGUUGCAACAACCAAUAUUUGAUAUUCUAAGGUUUAUAUACACAAACAACGGGACCCUCAAUCUUAAGUUUUCAUUUAGUAACGACUACGCUAAUCUUGCUAAGUUAAGGAUGUGUGUGCAAUGGACAUGAUAAAUGUAAGUUUUCCAGACUUGUUUACAUAAAGACUUGUAAUUUGUUUGCAAUUAUAUGAUUGUUCUGAUGUACGGGGCUUGUUUUCGUAGAUUUUUCCUUUUAUCUACCUGCAGACCAUGUUCAUGCAGUUUGUUCAGUGCAAAAAUCAAAUACAAUUCAAGUUUGUAGUGGAACAACUCCUCAGAUGCUAUCUCUAGAUGGUAAUGCAAACUUUCAACUAUUAGAAACUAAUAAAAACGUAAUAUUACAGCAAGGGCCUAUGUGACUGGAUAUAAGGAAAAUAUUUUAACAAUAGCUUAUUUCAUUAAGCUUUGAUUCCGUAUUUCCUAACCAGGUUGAACAGACGGGGUCCUGAGGUGAAAGACUUUUGAGUAGUUCCCAAAAAAUAUAUGCUGCAAAUGUCGAAGCUAUACUUGAUCUACUUCCUAAAUUAGAGACCAACAUUUGGCAAUGUUUGUUAAAGGCCUCUUACUUUUCCAUUUAUAAAAAAAAUAUUUUUUUGGUUAAUGUUUAAUCUGGUGUCGUUCAUGAUUAUUUUUACAGAUGGAUUGAGGGCCCAUGUGUACACAUAUCUGCCGUCGAAGGCUAAAAAAAUUACUUAAAAAUCAUGCUAUAAAAAAGAACUAUUUCAAAGUUGUAAACAACUAGGAAACAGUACUGUUUGUCCACCCACUGUGGUGCGUCCAUCAGCCAAUAUGGGUGUCCUGAAAUUUAUUGUUGAUGUAAGGCAUCCAUCCUCUUUUCUCUUUUAUAUUCCUCUCAGAUAAUCUGAGAUAAUUUUAUGAACUAUACAAUUUGUCUUCUCUCGUGAUCAUACAGAGCUACAAUAACGUCUUGGUUCACAAAUACUCCAUCAAUUGUGUACCGAAUUUGUUCCAACCAUUUUGUUUGCAAAAGUCCAUAAUUAGCAAAACAAUCCCUCAACACUCUAGUGUCUUGAUCAGUUACAUGAAUUCCUCGUCUUUUUUAACCUUCGACGACGGAUAUGUUUACACAUGGGCCCUCCAUCAAUCUGUAGAGAUAAUCAAGAGCGGCACUAGAUUAAACCUUAACAAAAAAUAUUUUUUCUAAAUGAAAAAGUAAGAGGCCCUUAGCAAACAUUGCCAAAUGUUGGUCUCAAAUUAAGGAAGUAGAUCAAGCAUAGCUGCGACAUUUGUAGUAUAUAUUUUUGGGAACUACUCAAAGGUCUUUCACCCCAGGACCCCGUCUGUUCAACCUAGAUAGGAAAUACGGCAACAAAGCUUAAUGAAAUAGGCUAUUGCUGAAAUAUUUUACUCAUAUCCAGUCACAUAGGCUUUUGUUGUAAUAUUGUGUUUUUUUAGUUUCUAAUAGUUGGCAGUUUGCAUUACCUUCGAGAGGUAACAUCUGAGGAGUUGUUGCACUACAAACUUAAAUUGUAUUUGAUUUUUGGACUGAACAAACUGCAUGAACAUGAUCUGUAGGUAGAUAAAAGGGAAAAUCUACAAAAACAAUCCCCGGAUAUUAGAACAAUCGUGUAAUUGCAAACAAAUUACUAGUUUUUAUGUAAACAAGACUGAAAAACUUACUAUCAUGUCCAGUGCACACACACGUCCUUAAUGAACUUAGUAAGAUUAGCGUAGUCGUUACUAAAUGAAAACUCAAGCUUGAGUGUCUCGUUGUUUGUGUAUAUGAACCUUAGAAUGUCAAAUAUUGGUUGUUGCGGUAAUUUCAAACAAUCCAACAAAAAGAUUUUGUAAUCUUCAUUAUUCUUCCUCCCACUUUUAAUUUUGAGUUAUAUCAAUGACACUAUAAGAUAUCUACUGUUUUCUAUUGUCAUAAACCACUCUGUAUCUAUAACAAUAAAUAAUACCUUUGUGAUGCACGCUAUGAUCUUAUCUUAGAGGUCUGACGAAAAUUUUUCAACAAGAUCAUACUGGUACUCACGUAAUAAGGGAAUGUUGUUGGGGUUUUCUUGUCCAUCUUCUUUCUCGUGUUUCACAUCCUUUCGUCGAGGCUAGUGGAGAUUCGGUGAGUUGAACUCUCUCGGAAGUAAAUGUAAUAUAAUUCAUUUCCCACACGUGAGAGUUCAUCCAAGACGUUGUUGUGGCUUUGUAUGAUCACGAGGGAAGUCAAAUUGUAUAGUUCAUAAAAUUAUCUCAGAUUAUCAGAGAGGAAUAUAAAAGAGGAGAUGGAUGCCUUCAACAAUAAAUUUCAGGACACCAAUAUUGGCUGAUUGAUGCGCUGCAGUGGGUGGACAGGCAGUUCUGUUUCCUAGUUGUUUACAACUUCGAAAUAGUUCUUUUUAGCAUGUUUUUUAAGUAAUUUUUUUUAGCCUUCGACGGCGGAUAUGUGUACACAUGGGCCCUCCAUCCAUCUGUAACGAUAACCAUGAGAGACACUAGAUUAAACCUUAACCAAAAAAUAUUAUUUCUAAAUGAAAAAAUAAGAGGCCCUUAACAAACAUUGUCAAAUGUUGGUCUCAAAUUUAGGAAGUAAAUCGAGUAUAGUUUCGACAUUUGCAGCAUAUAUUUUUUGGGAACUACUCAAAGGUCUUUCACUUCAGUACCACGUCUGUUCAACCUGGAUAGGAAAUACGUAAGCAAAUCUUAAUGAAAUAGGUUAUUGCUAAAAUAUUUUCUCAUAUCCAAUCACAUAGGCUCUUGUUGUAAUAUUACGUUUUUUAAGUUUCUAAUAGUUGGCAGUUUGUAUUACCUUUGAGGGGUAGCAUCUGAGGAGUUCCAUUGCAAAUUUGAAUUGUAUUUGAUUGUUGGACUGAACAAACUGUAUGAGCAUGGUCUGCAGGUCAAUAAAAAGGAAAAUCUGCGAAAACAAGCCUCGGAUAUUUGAACGAUCAUGUAAUUACAAACAAAUUAUCAGUUUUUAUGUAAACAAAACUGGAAAACUUACAUUUAUCAUGUCCAGUAAACCCACGUUCUAAAGGAACUCACCAAGUUUGGGUUUUCAUUUAGCAACGACUACGCUAAUCUUGCUAAGUUCCUUAAGGACGUGGGUGCACUGGACAUGAUAAAUGUAAGUUUUCUAGUUUUGUUUAUAUAAAAACUGGUAAUUUGUUUGCAAUUACAUGAUUGUUCUAAUAUCCGGGGUUUGUUUUCGCAGAUUUUCCUUUCAUAUAUCUCAACAUCUUUAAUCUAGAAAAAUAGCCGAGUGAUCCAUCGGAUCAACCCUUAGAAGUGAACUUAAUUCGGGAAAUACCUACCAAAUAGGUAGCAGAAGAGCAUGAGCUUGAUUGAGUUUUGAGAGAAGAUCUUUGAUGAAGAAAUCAAGUUAAGAGAGUUAGAAUCAAAAUAAGUCUUUAAGAAGAAAAGUACUGGGUUAGACACAAGUUUUAUUGAUCACAACUUCGAAGAACUAUUUGCUUAUGAAAUUUAGGAUCCAAGUAGAUAUGAAACAAUUGGCCUAUGAUGCUUCAACCAUGAACUUUGGGUCUGAGAAAAUUCUUAAAGAAGAGCUGAUUUUAUUAGGACAAACUUUCAUUCAUGUGGAACCUAAGUUCAAAUCUGAGACUAGAUUUCUAAUUGAUAGGCAUUGAAAAAUCAAGAUGCAUGACCCUCUAUUAACGUUCCAUGAAAUGCUACAAAAAUUAUUAAAAAUCAGAAUCUAAGCACAUCAUUGAGUUUUUCUUGUAAGACUUCUUUAAAAUUCAAGAUCGAAUUUUUAGCAAUAAGGCAAGAACUGAUAUAGAAUGUGAGCUUUUCAUUUUCAAUCCUUUAUUCUACAUUUUUACUCUGUGUCUCAUAAUAAUAAAAAUAAAAAAGAAUUUGAUAUUCUCUUGUUUGGAGAGUUUGUUUCAUUAAAAAAUAAAAAAUAAAAUAAAAAAGAGAGACCAAAUUUUUAUGGCUACAUCCUUCUCUCAUACCCAUUAGAAAUCAAGGUAAUUCCAAAAUUUGUCAUUUUAUCAUCAUUCAAGAUUGAACAAAUGUAAGUGUUUCAUUUUCUAUCUACUUUACUUUUUGUAUCAUAUAGUUUGCAUUAAGGAUAAUGUAAAAUUUAGGUAUUGGGUGAAGAUUUGUUAUAUUUUCUCUUUAUUUUAUCCUUUCAUUUAUCAUUUCUUUUCUUUCCCUAAAAAAUAAAAAAAUAUGCCACUUGCAAACUUGAUAAAGUUUGCAUUUAUCAUUUCUUUUCUAAAAAAAUAAAAAAAUAUGCCACUUGCAAACUUGAUAAAGUUAAUUAAUAAUGAUUUACUUGAUGAAUUUUUAAACUUUCUAAUUCGUAGUUAGUUUUAUAUUCAAGUUACUAUUUUAUGAUAACUCUAAAUAAAUUUUUAAGAAAUGAUUUUUAAAAUUUGGAUGAUUUUACCAACCCAGAUUGUAGGUUGGAGAAUAUGGAUCAUUCGUAGGGUGCUGGAAUAGGGUGCUGGAAUGUAGUGUUCACUUGACCUAAUGCUUGACUGUUUUCUAAGAGAGGACAUUCCUCUAAAACAUAGAUUCGGGAUAGGUGGUUAUGACCUCUCGAGGGCAGAAACUUGAUUAAUUUGAGCCGAGGCUUGUUCUUUAGUUUCAAGGACUUCCUGUAAAUGGUUCGUUAACCCUUUCGUUAAUCAUAGUCCAGUUUCAAAUUGAUAGAGGUGGAAGUGUACCUAUUAGUAUUUUGUAGUGUCGAUAAAGCACUAGUAGACAUGUCGCAUGCUUGGCGACACACUUCUGGAUCACGAGGUAUGACAGUUAAAAUUCAAGGAUCAGAACCAAUAAAAAGAACACAUGAAUCCUAUGUCCAAAUUCAUAAAAUGAUGAAAUUUUUUAUGGGUUUCACAAUGGUGAAACUUUUCUGUGAGGUAUAAAUUCAGCAUAAUUAAUCAGAUUUCCUUUUCCUUUUCGAUCCUAUAUAAAAAAUUUGGCGAUUUUUCUUUUUUUUUAUGCAUUCUGUCUACCUUUAAACCAUCUAUCUGAAUCGGGUCAUCAGAUGUAUAAAAGUGUUUACUUUGUGUUGUUCAACUUUUACUCUUUUUUUUUUUUGCUUUGCGACAAUUAAGAACCGAUACUUUUCGAGUAGUAUCUCGAUAAAUGAAAAUAUCUGUUGGAACUUCUGCCACAAUAGAUGCGCAGUGAGGUACUAGAUGCACAUU